GACGAACGCUGGCGGCGCGCUUAACACAUGCAAGUCGAACGGAAAGGCCUGCUUUCCCUUGUGGAUUGCGGGUACUCGCGUGGCGAACGGGUGAGUAACACGUGAGUGAUCUGCCCCCAACUUGGGUAUAAGCCUGGGAAACUGGGUCUAAUUCCCGAUAGGACUGCAGGGUGGUGCCUGUGGUGGAAAACGAUUUUCUAGUGGUUGGGGAUGAGCUCGCGGCCUAUCAGCUUGUUGGUGGGGUAAUGGCCUACCAAGGCGGCGACGGGUAGCCGGCCUGGGAGGGUGGACGGCCACAUUGGGACUGAGAUACGGCCCAGACUCCUACGGGAGGCAGCAGUGGGGAAUAGUGCACAAUGGGCGGAAGCCUGAUGCAGCGACGCCGCGUGGGGGAUGACGGCCUUCGGGUUGUAAACUCCUUUCGACCGCGAGGAAGCCACCUGGUUGGAAGGGUGGUGACGGUAGUGGUAGAAGAAGCACCGGCUAACUACGUG
rnacentral:rRNA from 1 species